ACGUGAGUAACCUGCCCCCUUCUUCUGGAUAACCGCAUGAAAGUGUGGCUAAUACGGGAUAUUCUGGGUCUGUCGCAUGACGGGCCCGGGAAAGAUAUUGCUUCGGUGGGGGAUGGGCUCGCGGCCUAUCAGCUUGUUGGUGGGGUGAUGGCCUACCAAGGCGGUGACGGGUAGCCGGCCUGAGAGGGUGGACGGUCACACUGGGACUGAGACACGGCCCAGACUCCUACGGGAGGCAGCAGUGGGGAAUAUUGCACAAUGGGCGCAAGCCUGAUGCAGCGACGCCGCGUGAGGGAUGGAGGCCUUCGGGUUGUAAACCUCUUUCGCCAGUGAAGCAGGCCUGCUCCUUGUGGGUGGGUUGACGGUAGCUGGAUAAGAAGCGCCGGCUAACUACGUGCCAGCAGCCGCGGUAAUACGUAGGGCGCGAGCGUUGUCCGGAAUUAUUGGGCGUAAAGAGCUCGUAGGCGGCUGGUCGCGUCUGUCGUGAAAUCCUCUGGCUUAACUGGGGGCUUGCGGUGGGUACGGGCCGGCUUGAGUGCGGUAGGGGAGACUGGAACUCCUGGUGUAGCGGUGGAAUGCGCAGAUAUCAGGAAGAACACCGGUGGCGAAGGCGGGUCUCUGGGCCGUUACUGACGCUGAGGAGCGAAAGCGUGGGGAGCGAACAGGAUUAGAUACCCUGGUAGUCCA
rnacentral:rRNA from 1 species